rnacentral:tRNA from 3 species
AUUAAACUUUUAUUAGAA